GUGCUUUGCUUUCGGCCGCACAUAUACUAAAAUUGGAAUGAUACAGAGAAGAUUAGCAUGGCCCGUGCAAGGAUGAUAGCGCAAAUUCGUGAAGUGUUCCAUAUUUAA